rnacentral:rRNA from 1 species
UUCAGAGGCGAAGAAGGACGUGGUAAGCUGCGAAAAGCUGCGGGGAUCGGCACACACGAAUUGAUCCGCAGAUGUCCGAAUGGGGCAACCCGGCAUGUUGAAGACAUGUCACUCUAAUUAUUUAGAGAGCAAACCCGGAGAACUGAAACAUCUAAGUACCCGGAGGAAAAGAAAUCGAAGAGAUUCCGUAAGUAGUGGCGAGCGAAAGCGGAUUAGCCCAAAAGCUAAUAUAUGUUUAAUAGAAUGUUCUGGAAAGAACAGCCGUAGAGGGUGAUAGCCCCGUAUAUGAAAGGCAUAUUUAAGUGAUAAAUGAGUAGGGCGGGACACGUGAAAUCCUGUCUGAAUAUGGGGGGACCAUCCUCCAAGGCUAAAUACUCCUGAAAGACCGAUAGUGAACAAGUACUGUGAAGGAAAGGUGAAAUGGCCUUCWAAUAGGGGGGUGAAAUCCAACCUGAAACCGCCCCCCUACRASCGGACCCASCCCMCWUGUUGGGUGACGGCCUGCCUUUUGCWUGAU